rfam:Ailuropoda melanoleuca scaffold3112_33, whole genome shotgun sequence.
ACCUGGCUGGCUCAUUCGGUAGAGCAUGUGACUCUUGAUCUCAGGCACAUGAGUUUGAGCCCUAUGCUGGGGA